rnacentral:lncRNA from 1 species
GGUCAAGUGGCAUGGUUAACGGCAUAUAGACCCAUGGCACAGACCAGUCGCUUUUAACUUUAAAAGCUAAGCAGUUUUAAAAUAAGGCUUUUUAACACUCCCAAACAGAAAACAACGUGAACUAGGAUCUUUUAACGAAUUGACAUUCUAACAAAAGAAGUAACGGUUACCGUAAGUGGAUCAUAACACAUCUUGACCACGCUUAAAUUAUAUUAACCUUUGGUUGUUGAUUUCAGUCGUUUUGAGCUUGAUGACCCUUUUAACGUGUUAGCGCGGCGUCGCAGUUUAUUUUUUGAAGGUUAGGGUUCUGCACGGAGAGGGAAAAUACCAUUAGUGAAAGAACUCAACACUGCAAAUUACCAAAAAAUAGAAAAACGGUGGUAAUUUUUAUUAUAGACACGUUUUAACUGGGCAUGCUAAAAUAAUGUGUUAUAUAGUACCCACCUCUUCGUCCAGGCGAUCUGAUAAUAUGCUCCGCACCCUCUGGUAUGACGUGAACAUCUGCAUGUGUCUCCACAAGGUUUUGCAGUGGUAUUGUAAACCCCAAAUGAGGUUUUUUUUAAAUGUGUAGCGACUUGUCCCUUCGUCCGUGUCUGUGGAAUAGACUCAUGCGUGUAUUGGUGUGGAGAAAGUACUCCUGUGUCUUUAAGACUCACAUGGUCGUAAAGCGUUAUUCAAAACAUUGUCGUAAUUACUCACCAGUGUUGGGCUGCGCCGUAACUGGUCUUUUUACAGCUGUGGUUUUUGGGGCUAAUGGAAAUGAAUGGAUACACACAGUCACGACCACAUUAUGGAACAACUCCCUGGGUCGCAGUGCGUCCCUGGAGCUGUCAGACACCGCCUGUUGUUGGGAGCUUCUUUGUGUGGAGAAACAUCGGGGUCCGCUGCUCUACAAAGUGAAGAGCAAAAGCCAACCCCGCCCUCUGCCCCAUGUGACAGCGGCGGGCGUGUGA